UUCUGAUAAAGCCUCCGAGAUCUUCGAAGGCCCUCUCUUUCUGCUCGACGCUCAUUGAAGGAAAUAGUAUUAGCUCGUAUGGCUAUCAAGAUCACCUUUAUGCUGAUGACACCCAGCUGUAUUUUUAAACUCCUGAGCUCUUCCCAAAUGUUCAGCAGUAGUUGUCAUGAUGUCUUGCUGUUUCUGCAUGGAUGAAUCACCGACAUUUAAAACUCAGCAUGGCCAAAACACAGACCCAGGCCACUACCAAGUCAUGUAGAUGUUUUCACUACAAUCUUGCCAGAAUUAGGCCUUUUCUUUUUGUUUUGAAGGCCAACAUUUUAAUGCAUGCACUGGUGGACUCAUGCUUAUGGGAGAACAAAAUGUCACAGACUGUCAUACUAGAAAAUGAAAAAAAGGAAGUAUGGUUGUAUAUAUCACCAGUUCUUUUCCAGAAAUGAAAUUAGAAGACUGAUAAGUGCUGACCCAUCAAAUGUUCUAGAAGGAAUGAACAGGGAAGUUAUGGGAGGGGUAGAGAUGGGUAAGAAUUUCAGUUUGUUUGUUUGUUUGUUCAAAUAAUAAACCAUACCUUCAUAAUU